rnacentral:rRNA from 1 species
CCUACGGGUGGCAGCAGUGGGGGAUAUUGCACAAUGGGGGCAACCCUGAUGCAGCGACGCCGCGUGGGUGAAGAAGUAUUUCGGUAUGUAAAGCCCUAUCAGCAGGGAAGAAAGACGACGGUACCUGACUAAGAAGCCCCGGCUAACUACGUGCCAGCAGCCGCGGUAAUACGUAGGGGGAGAGCGUUAUCCGGAUUCACUGGGUGUAAAGGGCGCGUAGACGGGCGUGCAAGCCAGGAGUGAAAGCCCGGGGCCCAACCCCGGGACUGCUCUUGGAACUGUGCGGCUGGAGUGCGGGAGGGGCAGGCGGAAUGCCGGGUGUAGCGGUGAAAUGCGUAGAUAUCAGGAGGAACACCGGCGGCGAAGGCGGCCUGCUGGACCGCGACUGACGUUGAGGCUCGAAAGCGUGGGGAGCGAACAGGAGUAGAUACCCUUGUAGUC